rnacentral:tRNA from 1 species
GCCUGGCUGGUUCAGGUGAUAGAGUAUGUGACUCUGGAUCUCACGGUUGUGAGUUAGAGCCCCAUGUUGGGCA